CGAGUUUGAUCCUGGCUCAGGACGAACGCUGGCGGCGUGCCUCAUACAUGCAAGUCGGGCGGAGCCGGCGGGCAACCGCCGGUCGAGCGGCGGACGGGUGCGUAACACGUGAGCAAUCUACCCCGGGGUGGGGGAUAGCGGGCCGAAAGGCCCGGUAAUCCCGGCAUACGCCCCCGGCGCGCCAGGCGGCGGGGGGAAAGCCGGCGACGGCGCCCCGGGCGGGGCUCGCGGCCCAUUAGCUAGUUGGGGGGGUCACGGCCUCCCAAGGCGACGAUGGGUAGCCGGCCUGAGAGGGUGACCGGCCACACUGGGACUGAGAGACGGCCCAGACUCCUACGGGAGGCAGCAGUAGGGAAUCUUCCACAAUGGGCGCAAGCCUGAUGGAGCAACGCCGCGUGGGUGAAGACGGCCUGCGGGUUGUAAAGCCCUGUGGAUCGGGACGAGGACCGGCGGGGGGCCGCCGGGGGGCCGGUACCGAUCGAGCAAGCCCCUGCUAACUACGUGCCAGCAGCCGCGGUAAGACGUAGGGGGCAAGCGUUGUCCGGAAUGACUGGGCGUAAAGGGCGUGUAGGCGGCCGGGUACGUCGGCGCGGGCAGCCCGCGGCUCACCCGCGGGAGCGGGCCGAAACGGCCGGGCUCGAGGGCAGGAGAGGGACCUGGAAUGCCCGGUGGAGCGGUGAAAUGCGUAGAGAUCGGGCAGAACACCCGUGGCGAAGGCGGGGUCCUGGCCUGGCCCUGACGCUGAGGCGCGACAGCGUGGGGAGCGAACGGGAUUAGAUACCCCGGUAGUCCACGCCGUAAACGAUGGGUACUAGGUGUCGCGCGGGUUUGCCGGGCGGUGCCGGAGCUUACGCACUAAGUACCCCGCCUGGGGAGUACGGCCGCAAGGCUGAAACUCAAAGGAAUUGACGGGGGCCCGCACAAGCAGUGGAGCAUGUGGUUUAAUUCGACGCAACGCGCAGAACCUUACCAGGGCUCCCCGGCCCGCUGAGCGGCGGAAACCGCCGGGCGUCCGGGCAACCGGGCGAGGCGGGUCGCGGAGCUGCACUGUUGUCUCAGCUCGUGUCGUGAGAUGUUGGGUUCAGUCCCGCAACGAGCGCAACCCCCGUCGGUGGUUGCUACGAUCGCUUCGGGCGGUCGGGCGCUCCGCCGAGACAGCCGGGAACAACCCGGAGGAAGGUGGGGAUGACGUCAAAUCCGCAUGGCCUGCAUGCCCUGGGCUACACACGUGCUACAAUGCGCGCGGCAAUGGGCGGCGACCGGGCGACCGGGAGCGAAUCCCCAAACGCGCGCCUAGUUCGGAUUGCAGGCUGCAACCCGCCUGCAUGAAGCCGGAAUUGCUAGUAAUCGCGGAUCAGCAUGCCGCGGUGAAUCCGUUCCCGGGCCUUGUACACACCGCCCGUCACACCACGAAAGGGGGUCGCACCCGAAGCCGGCCGGGCGACGGCCGUCGACGGUGAGGCGCCUGAUUGGGGUGAAGUCGUAACAAGGUAGCCGUAUCGGAAGGUGCGGCUGGAUCACCU
rnacentral:rRNA from 1 species